CUACGGGCUGCAGCAGUGGGGAAUCUUGCGCAAUGGGCGAAAGCCUGACGCAGCAACGCCGCGUGCGGGAUGAAGGCCUUCGGGUUGUAAACCGCUUUCAGCAGGGAAGAAAUUGACGGUACCUGCAGAAGAAGCCCCGGCCAACUACGUGCCAGCAGCCGCGGUAACACGUAGGGGGCGAGCGUUGUCCGGAUUUAUUGGGCGUAAAGAGCUCGUAGGCGGUUCGGUAAGUCGGGUGUGAAACCUCCAGGCUCAACCUGGAGACGCCACCCGAUACUGCUGUGACUCGAGUCCGGUAGGGGAGUGUGGAACUCCUGGUGUAGCGGUGAAAUGCGCAGAUAUCAGGAAGAACACCAGCGGCGAAGGCGGCACUCUGGGCCGGUACUGACGCUGAGGAGCGAAAGCGUGGGUAGCAAACAGGAUUAGAUACCCUAGUAGUC
rnacentral:rRNA from 1 species